GUUGACUGCUGCCAGAAUGGAGAGCCAGUGCUAGGGAAAUGCUGCGUCUUCUGGGAAUGAGGUGGUUGUUCGGCCUCCUUAAGGCAUGGCGGGUGCUGCUUCCUUGUCCUGCAGCCCCUGCAUAUUUCGCCUGAGUCCCUGAUGAAGAGGACGUGGCGUGGGCAGAUGGGCCCUUCCUCCCGCCCUCUCGGUGACUCAGGGAAACGGCCUCGCCGCAGAGCGCUCCCCUGGCAGCUGGUGCCGCACUCCUACCCCGCCUAGUUUCAUGCAGUGGGUGGUUUCUUACAUCCCAGGGAGGGGGAAUGAAAUGGGGUUUAAAAUCCUCUCUGCCCUUACACACGCCCUUCUGACGGUUGGAGAACCUGACGCGCGGAUUCCAAGUAGAACCUGCGUUCUCUUCGGUGUUACUUAGAUAAUUAGCUCUAAGGACAGUGAAGGCCAUCGGUGAGCUAUCUCAAGCUGGCCUUAGUGUUUCUGCGGACAUUUUGGUGAUCUAGUAUCAGACUAGUUUAUUAGUGAUCAGCUUGGCGUUUAAGAAUAUUUAUCAUAAAAUUGUCAUAAAAUAACGCGGAAGGGUUGCACCAAAAAUGUAGCAGUAGAUUUUUUAGCUACACCAAGUUGAAACUCACAGAUUUAUAUAAUUAGGUUAAAGAUGACUGAAAUGUCUUCCUGAAGGAAAGGGAUUGUUAACUGUGAAUUUCCGUGGGACCAUCUCAACACUGUCCAUAGGUUAGCAGUGUGGGAUUUAAGCACCUCAAAGCCGGAGCAUCGUAUUUCCAACAGCAUUAAGGUAUCUACAGCAUUACUUAAUAAUCUUC
rnacentral:lncRNA from 1 species